rnacentral:rRNA from 1 species
GUGGGGAAUAUUGGACAAUGGGCGGAAGCCUGAUCCAGCCAUGUCGCGUGUGUGAAGAAGGCCUUUUGGUUGUAAAGCACUUUAAGCGAGGAGGAGGCUCUUAAGGUUAAUACCCUUGAUGAGUGGACGUUACUCGCAGAAUAAGCACCGGCUAAUUCUGUGCCAGCAGCCGCGGUAAUACAGAGGGUGCGAGCGUUAAUCGGAUUUACUGGGCGUAAAGCGUGCGUAGGCGGCUGAUUAAGUCGGAUGUGAAAUCCCUGAGCUUAACUUAGGAAUUGCAUUCGAUACUGGUCAGCUAGAGUAUGGGAGAGGAUGGUAGAAUUCCAGGUGUAGCGGUGAAAUGCGUAGAGAUCUGGAGGAAUACCGAUGGCGAAGGCAGCCAUCUGGCCUAAUACUGACGCUGAGGUACGAAAGCAUGGGGAGCAAACAGGAUUAGAUACCCGGGUAGUCC